CCUACGGGAGGCAGCAGCGGGGAAUAUUGCACAAUGGGCGCAAGCCUGAUGCAGCCAUGCCGCGUGUGUGAAGAAGGCCUUCGGGUUGUAAAGCACUUUCAGCGGGGAGGAAGGCGUUAAGGUUAAUAACCUUGGCGAUUGACGUUACCCACAGAAGAGGCACCGGCUAACUCCGUGCCAGCAGCCGCGGUAAUACGGAGGGUGCAAGCGUUAAUCGGAAUUACUGGGCGUAAAGCGCACGCAGGCGGUCUGUCAAGUCGGAUGUGAAAUCCCCGGGCUCAACCUGGGAACUGCAUUCGAAACUGGCAGGCUAGAGUCUUGUAGAGGGGGGUAGAAUUCCAGGUGUAGCGGUGAAAUGCGUAGAGAUCUGGAGGAAUACCGGUGGCGAAGGCGGCCCCCUGGACAAAGACUGACGCUCAGGUGCGAAAGCGUGGGGAGCAAACAGGAUUAGAUACCCGAGUAGUC
rnacentral:rRNA from 1 species